UGACGGUAAUAGAUAGUAUAUCUCAUGCACUCUUCGGUCGAAGCCUUUUGUUCUUCCCCAGUUGAGUAAGAUUCGUAUUCCCUUUGUGGAGUCGAAUAUCCAUCCUAUAAUCGAGUUUGCUUUUAGCCCUCUUUUGGAUGAUGAGUGUCUUGGGAAUAUUCCCCAAUUCACGCCCUGGUUAGUCACCUAUUAUAUGCCCAGUAACCAGCAUCCCUGGUGUUC
rnacentral:lncRNA from 1 species